rnacentral:rRNA from 1 species
GGGGGCCCGCAAGCGGUGGAGCAUGUGGUUUAAUUCGAUGCAACGCGAAAAACCUUACCUGGUCUUGACAUCCAUAGAAUUUGAUAGAAAUAUCAAAGUGCCUUCGGGAACUAUGAGGCAGGUGCUGCAUGGCUGUCGUCAGCUCGUGUUGUGAAAUGUUGGGUUAAGUCCCGCAACGAGCGCAACCCUUAUCCUUUGUUGCCAUCAGGUAAAGCUGGGAACUCAAAGGAGACUGCCGGUUAUAAACCGGAGGAAGGUGGGGACGACGUCAAGUCAUCAUGGCCCUUACGACCAGGGCUACACACGUGCUACAAUGGUAUAUACAAAGAGAUGCAACUCUGCAAGGAUAAGCAAACCUCAUAAAGUGUAUCGUAGUCCGGACUGGAGUCUGCAACUCGACUCCACGAAGUCGGAAUCGCUAGUAAUCGUGGAUCAGAAUGCCACGGUGAAUACGUUCCCGGGGCCUUGUACACACC